UCCGGUGACUAUAGCGGAGGGGCCACACCCGAUCCCAUCCCGAACUCGGAAGUUAAGCCCUCUAGCGCCGAUGGUACUGCACGGUUACCUGUGUGGGAGAGUAGGUCGUUGCCGGAU
rnacentral:rRNA from 1 species